GACGAACGCUGGCGGCGUGCUUAACACAUGCAAGUGGAGCGACGAACCAGGGCUUGCCCUGGGGCAAAGCCGCGAACGGGUGAGUAUCACGUGGGUAACGUGCCCCGAUGACCGGGACAACCCGAGGAAACUCGGGCUAAUACCGGAUGUGCUGUGCGGCCUCAAGGCCGUUCAGUAAAGGAAGCUUCGGCCUCCGCAUUGCGAGCGGCCCGCGGCCCAUUAGCUUGUUGGUGAGGUAACGGCUCACCAAGGCAACGAUGGGUAGCUGGUCUGAGAGGACGAUCAGCCACAAUGGGACUGAGACACGGCCCAGACUCCUACGGGAGGCAGCAGUGGGGAAUCUUGCGCAAUGCGCGAAAGCGUGACGCAGCAACGCCGCGUGAGGGAAGACGGCCUUCGGGUUGUAAACCUCUUUCAGGAGGGACGAAGGUUCAGGCGCGAAUAGCGUCCUGGACUGACGGUACCUCCAGAAGAAGCUCCGGCUAACUACGUGCCAGCAGCCGCCGCCGUAA
rnacentral:rRNA from 1 species